rnacentral:rRNA from 1 species
AUUGAACGCUGGCGGCAGGCCUAACACAUGCAAGUCGAGCGGUAGAGAGAAGCUUGCUUCUCUUGAGAGCGGCGGACGGGUGAGUAACGCGUAGGAAUCUACCUGGUAGUGGGGGACAACAUUCGGAAACGGAUGCUAAUACCGCAUACGCCCUACGGGGGAAAGGAGGGGCUCUUCGGACCUUUCGCUAUCAGAUGAGCCUGCGUAGGAUUAGCUAGUUGGUGGGGUAAAGGCCCACCAAGGCGAYGAUCCUUAGCUGGUCUGAGAGGAUGACCAGCCACACUGGGACUGAGACACGGCCCAGACUCCUACGGGAGGCAGCAGUGGGGAAUAUUGGACAAUGGGGGCAACCCUGAUCCAGCCAUGCCGCGUGUGUGAAGAAGGCCUUCGGGUUGUAAAGCACUUUCAGUGGUGAGGAAAGGGUAAC